AUAUCUCAGAAAUUCAGGCAGCGCAAAUGUUCGUUCCGCUUAAGCUAAUUUACGAAUAAAUCCUUUUUCACGAUUUCAUUAUUUAUCAUGUGUCGCUCCUCGCUACAGUAGAGAGCGAUCUAGUACAGACUCCUCGUGACGUCACGGACACGUCAGAGGGGGCGUUCCAUAACCGCGGCAAAUCCGAAUCCCUUCGUGUUACGUUCUAGACAAUAACAAAACACCGAGCUUUAAACAACAAAUACGACUGGAAUUCAAUAUGGAACUUAGUAAAACAGAUACAGUAACCGGAUUUUUUUGGCGUCUUCUACGAACAGCCCGGAGAUUCCUGUGCUGCUGUGGACAUGAUGAGAACUCUGAUGUUCAGUUCUCAGUUGAAGAAACAGCUCCAUCUCUUGGUGUCAGCACUGUGAGACCGUGGAGUCAUGGUGAAGAUGAAAGUAUUAUCAGCACAGUUUAGAACACUUGAAUCAAGAUUGAUAAGAACUAUAAGUGUAGCACUUAUAUGAUAGAGGAUUGUCCCACUUGAAAUCAUUGUCGCCCCGGCCACAUCUGUUGCACUUCCCGAGAGGAGCUGAUGUCGAGUUACUGGCGCUCUCGCCCCAUGCACGGAGGAGGAGCUCUGGACCUGUUGGGUUGGGUUUGGUUCAUGCAGAGCAGCAUUAGAGCAUCAUAUUGUCUAUUUGAUAGUAACUGAGAGCCAUGCCACGUGUUGUCACUAAGAUUUGACUAACAGGUUUAGGUUUCUGAUGUCAAAUUAAUUCAAUCACUCAUUCAUUCCUGCUUCAUCUUAAGGAAGAAUAUUAGAGCUAGUAUACAGCACACACGUUUAUACCAAAGUUCAAUGGGAAUAUUUAAAGCCAGUUAGGAAGUUUAUUUCUUCUCUCUCAAAGAAAAUUGUAAAACAAAGUAUCAAGCUAUCAAAUUAUGUACAGACUGAAUUUAAAUGAAUACAUUAUUGGAGCAUUGCCUUACUUCAUCAAAGUAUGAUAUCAUGAGUUUACACAGAAAUGAAGUCUUAGUCACAAAUCCACAAGAAAUAUUGCCGGAAGAAUGUGAAUAUUUUAAAACUCUGUAUUCUAACGAUGCAAUAUUGGAGCCCCUAAAUGGUGUGACUGAGCAAUAUUUCCCUUUGAACAAUGUCUCUGUGCUUUCUACUUCGCAGCAAUUAAGCUGUGAAGGCGAAAUAACAGAGCAGGAGUUAUUGGAGGCAAUUAAUUCAUUUUCAUCUGGUAAAUCUCCUGGUAUCGAUGCAAUUCCUAUCGAGAUGUAUACGAUUUUUUUUACAGAAAUUAAAAAACCCUUAUUAGAAUCUUUCAACUUUUCAUUUCAACAAGGUAUUUUAUCUAAUUCACAAAGAGAGGGAGUUAUCUCAAUACUCUUACAACAAGAUCCUGAUGGGAAAUAUAAAGAUCCAAAAUGGUAAAAAAAUUGGCGUCCAUUGAACCUGCUCUGUUGUGAUACUUGUAUUUUAUCUAAAUGUAUUGCUUUAAGAAUAAAAAAUAUAAUUGGAGAUGUUAUAAACAACAAUCAAGCAGGUUUUAAUAAGGGGAGAUUUAUAGGAGAUAACUUGAGACAAAUACUGGACACCAUACAUUUUUAUGAGAACCAUCAGGAACCAGGAUUAUUGUUUAUUGCUGAUUUCGAAAAGACGUUUGAUAAUGUUCAAUGUAAGUUCAUAAAACAAUGUCUUAGCUUUUUUAAUUUUGGGAAAAACUUAAUACAGUGGUUUGAAACUCUUUAUAAUCAUCCAGUUAGUCGAGUGAUUAAUAACGGUCAUAUAAAAGACAGAUUUUUAUUAACACAAGGAGUCCGUCAAGGGUGUCCUUUGUCACCAUAUCUCUUUAUUUUAUGUAUUGAAAUUCUGGCUAUUAAAAUUAGGAACAAUCCAGAUAUAUCAGGUCUAUUUCCAAACGGUAAAGAGAUUAAGCUAACAAUGUAUGCUGAUGAUGCAAUCUUUUUUAUAAAACCAACACAAGGACUUUAGAAGGACUAAUAAGGGAGUUAAAUAGAUUUUCAAAAAUAUCUGGUUUGAAACCUAAUUUUGCGAAAUGUAACAUUCUGAGAAUUGGGACAUUUAAACACACAAGUUUUAUUUUAAACAGUUCCGUUCCUGUUAAAUUGAUUAAUGGAGACUUUAAUUUACUAGGGAUUCAUCUACCUGACAACUUUAAAGAAAUUGAUAAAUUCAAUUAUGAGAGAAGGAUGGAAAAAGCAGAUAGAAUUUUACAACCUUGGAGGCAUACCUGUCAAGUUUUGGAUUUGAAAAUAAGGGAAAUUUUCCAGCGCCCAUUGCGAGCAGUCCCACCACCCCAACAAAGCUCCAGUAUCCCUUACAUUUUAAGACAGGUGUUAU